GACGAACGCUGACGGUGUGCUUUAGACAUGCAAGUCGAGCGAGAAAGCCCUUCGGGGUUAGUAAAGCGGCGAACGGGUGAGUAACACGUGGGCAAUCUGCCCCUCGCAGGGGGACAACCGGGGGAAACUCCGGCUAAUACCCCGUAAGUUUCCAGAGUCGCAUGGCUUUGGAAAGAAAGGUAGCUUCGGCCAUCCGGCGAGGGAUGAGCCCGCGGUACAUUAGCUAGUUGGUGGGGUAACGGCCUACCAAGGCGGCGANGUAUAGCUGGUCUGAGAGGAUGAUCAGCCACACUGGGACUGAGACACGGCCCAGACUCCUACGGGAGGCAGCAGGUCGGGAAUCUUGCAACAAUGGGGCGAAAGCCUGAUGCAGCAACACCGUGUGAGCGAUGAA
rnacentral:rRNA from 1 species